rnacentral:rRNA from 1 species
AUGUCCAUUAUUAAAUUUCCUAAGUGUGCAAUCAAAGCUAUUACCUCCCAGAUGGCUCACUUUUUGUGGGGGAAUAUGGGGGACAUUCAUAAAUAUCACUUGGCCAAUUGGGGACUUGUGUCCCAGAGGAAACAAUAUGGUGGCCUGGUGGGAGUUCCUAACUUGAGAGAAGUUAAUAUGUCCUUGCUAGCCUCUUGGGCUAGAAGGUAUUUUGCUGGGGGGGACAAAAAUUGGGUGUCCUUAGUGGACUAUAAGUAUCAAACUAAGAGGCCUAACAUUCUCUGUGCCAAAGAAAAGGUGGGUUCCCCAUUUUGGAAAGGGUUGACUUGGGCUUUAGCUGGGGUGAGGCCUUUCUAUAAAUGGAUUGUUGGUAAUGGUAAUCAGGUAUUUUUCUGGCUUGAUGUUUGGGUCGGGGCGUCUCCUUAA